rnacentral:rRNA from 1 species
UACGUAGGGUGCAAGCGUUAAUCGGAAUUACUGGGCGUAAAGCGUGCGCAGGCGGCUUUGCAAGACAGAUGUGAAAUCCCCGGGCUUAACCUGGGAACUGCAUUUGGGACUGCAAGGCUCGAGUGCGGCAGAGGAGACUGGAAUUCCUGGUGUAGCGGUGGAAUGCGCAGAUAUCAGGAGGAACACCGGUGGCGAAGGCGGGAUCCUGGGCCAGUACUGACGCUGAGGAGCGAAAGCGUGGGGAGCAAACAGG